rnacentral:rRNA from 1 species
UACGUAGGGUCCGAGCGUUGUCCGGAAUUAUUGGGCGUAAAGAGCUCGUAGGCGGUUUGUCGCGUCUGCUGUGAAAUCCCCAGGCUCAACCUGGGAACUGCGUCCGAUACUGGAUGGCUUGAAUCCGGGAGAGGGAUGCAGAAUUCCAGGUGUAGCGGUGAAAUGCGUAGAUAUCUGGAGGAACACCGGUGGCGAAGGCGGCUUCCUGGACCGACACUGACGCUGAGGCGCGAAAGCGUGGGGAGCAAACAGG